CAUGGCAGUUCAAAGAAGUUCAAGCCAGUUUCUUCACAGGUGGUUACCACCGUCUUAUUCUGCUCAUUAUCUCCACAACUCAAGCUGGUGGUUUUGCUACACUCAUGACCUCCACAACUCCAGCCUCCUACAAUCCUGGUAAACCGCCAAUUCAACUGCCCACUCUCCCCUAAUUUUAGGGUUUGAAGAGGUUAAAUAUAGAAUGAUGAGCGCAAGAAGGAAAUCUGAAGUGGAGUUCUCCUUGACGACGGUUCCCCAUGCUCCUGUAAUUGCCGAUUUGUGCUUCUCACCCACCCAUAAAUCAUGGGUUCCAUCUCCAAAUAAAAAAUGCAAGAAAAUAGAUGCCUCCUACGAUUGACAGAGUUCUCCAGAGCAGGGGUUGAUCUAAUUGAUAGGUUGGUGCAGUUCAUCAAACCAGGAUGCCUUCCACUGAUUCACUUCUUCUCCCGCGAGUUCAAGGAAACCCUAAUGGAAAAAGGAAGCUUUCAUCAUCAAAUCCACAAAUCUCAAUCAAUUCCAGUUAGUUUACUACACACUUCAACCUUCAUCAAGGGCGUUGGUUUUUAUUACUUCUACUUCUGCUUUAAUUGCAUUUUCGGUUCUAAAUCUCGUACAGAGCAAGAUGGCUUCAGUUUAGCGCAAGCAAUUUGCAAACUUUAGAUCGGAAUUUUCUGUCACCGGCGACUUUGAAUAUAUCCUGGAAGCGAUUUGCGACGGUGAAGGCUUUGAAUGCUGAAAAUGAUUCAGUCAUUCCUUUUACGGCCACCGUGUUUGCUCAUGGUGCUUCAAAUCUAUGGGCCCUAAUUAUAGAUGCUAGAGCUGUUUUUUGUUCUGUAGCUUAUGAACUGUCAUCUAUCUUCUUUACAAGGACUGGAUCAUGGGAUAGUUGCAGCCAAUGGAAGCUCUUUAGCUGUUAUAACAAGGGACACUUCCAUAUAUUUCCUUUUGUAUAUAUAUCCGCCUGAGUUUCAAAUAUUGUAUUUACUCUUAGAAAACACUAAAAAGAUCUUAUUUAUUCAACAAUAUAUAAGGUCACGUGCUUUGUGCGAAACAAACCUAUUACCUGCUAUAUUGGUGAAUGAUUAUUAUAAAAUUUUUGCAGGCAUGAAGUUGAGCUUGCUGCAGCCGCGAGCCAGCCUUUCCCAAAUGAUGAUGAUGCUUAUAAAGAGGUCAAGGUCACUUUUUUUAGUAAAUGGGUCAGGGUUAUCAUUUUUAGUAAACGGAUCAAAUUAUCAUUUUAUAACCAGGUUAGAUUACCAUUUUUAGCAAACAAGGGUCAAGGUUACCAUUUUUAUUUUGUGGGUUCAAGGUAACAAUGGAUGCGCAAGGAGAACCAAGUUGACCCAUUCAGCAAAUGGGUCAACAUUAUAUUUGUUUACUAUAAUUUACCCAUCUUACCCAUUAUAAUUGUGUAUUGUUCCGGUUAUAAUUUACAUGCUUUGCUUUUGGUAUUUUCUUUUUUGCUCGACCAAGGCCGCAACAAAUUGAGGCAUGUGAAGUUACAGUGGAAGAUUGGGAAAUUCAUGUACAAAUUGAGUAAGUCUUGUAAUCAAACGAGAUACUCACCCGACUCGGGCUCUAAAGGAACAUGCAUGUCGAUAAUGCUCUUAAUUCUUCAGCUCUAGCCAAGAGGAAUGUGAUCGGGGGGAACGAGAUGUGUCCGAUCUGCGGCCUUGAGCCAGAGACAACCGAUCUAUUGGCCAGGUGCCUUUUUGCAAAAACGGUGAGGUGGUUGGUUUGCGUCUGGACAAAGGUUCUGGUGCGGUGGUGCCAAUUCCUUUGACUCUGUAGCCCAAAUGCUUUAUCAUUGCCACGACUAGGAUAUGUGGCCCAAGAGACACAAGGUGAUCCAAGCCAUUUCUAUGAAGACUAUAUGGAGGCUCUGGUCUAAUCGGAAUGAUAAGGUCUUCAACUGGAAGCACAAGUCCGCUAAUAUGGUCCCGGAAGAAAUACAAGUUGGGUCUUAUUGGUGGAUGGAGAAGAGAUGCCGCAUCAACGGUCUUAGCAUGGAGAAUUGGACCGCCUUUGAAGGGUUAGACUUUGGCUUGGGUGUGGUUGUAGUUGUGUUGUGUCUUGCUUUGUUCUGGUGUAUGCAGUACGCUCUACUCUCUGAUGCCUUAGUUUCUUGCUAAGGAAAUGGUUGUAUGUUUUGUUUCUUUAAUAAGGUUCUCCUUUGCUGGCAGUGUUUUGAUUGUUUAAUAAGGUUCUCCUUUGCUGGCAAAAAAAUUAUCUUGCAUUUUUAUGCUCAGAAAAUGAAAGGACAAGACCUGUGUUUUUGUU